GGGGGGGGGGCUUAGGGACCAGAGCCGAAUACAUCCUCUUUCAGGUCUCUUUUCUUCCUAGCCAGCAAUCACUAGCAUUGAUGGAGCGCUCGCUGUGCGCCAAGCGGUGUUCUAGAAGCCUCAGCUCUCUUCCUGCUCGCAUCAACCUAGGACCUGUUACCCCGGCCAUUUUACAGACGGAGACAAAUGAGGCACAGAGUGGCACUGGGAGAUCAGACACUGAGGAGACAUGGACCCUGCCCUCAAGGAGCUUACAGUCGAGAGAGGAGACGGAGACCAGCCAACAGGCCUUCCCGAAAGAGUGGCGGAGAACAGAUCUGUUCUACCUGUGACCACCAGGGCGAUUCUGUCGCGGACUUCAGCAGGUAAAGCAUCUGGGACCUGAGGUGCCUCCGGGAGAAGGAGGAGACUCAUAAUCCAGGGCUCGGUUCCCCCAGGGGUGCCCCCUUCUGACCACUCUCCUUCCCUGUCCCACCCCAACUCCUGCCCUUGCUGUGGCUGCUGGCUUCCCCUCCUGUCUUUCCCCACGUCCCCCUCCCCAAGCAGCCUGGAGACACUCCAGGGCAACCUUCUCCCCACCCCAGGCAGUCCCUCUCCCACAACAGACUCACCCCUACAGGGCUGUUCGCUGUCCCCGCUCAGUAAGCAGCGAGGAUAGGGCAUCAGGAGACAGUGAGAGUGCAAACACCCAUUCUGCUACCUGGGACACACACACAGCAGGUGGAGUGAGAGAGUAACCCCCCAGGGUCCCCUCUGGGCCAGGAAGUCCUUGCAGUCUGACUCAAAUCCCACCUGCUAGGGCACUUCCUCUCAUUUGGCCUCUAAGACACCUUCCCUCGGGGUAACGGGUAUCGGAGACUUGAAAUACGCCACUCCAAUUCCUUCAUUUUUGCAAAUGUCACAUUAAAGUGAACAAGGUGA